rnacentral:rRNA from 1 species
CAGUCGCCGCGGGAAAACGUAGGUGGCAAGCGUUGUCCGGAAUUAUUGGGCGUAAAGCGCGCGCAGGUGGUUUAAUAAGUCUGAUGUGAAAGCCCACGGCUCAACCGUGGAGGGUCAUUGGAAACUGUUAAACUUGAGUGCAGGAGAGAAAAGUGGAAUUCCUAGUGUAGCGGUGAAAUGCGUAGAGAUUAGGAGGAACACCAGUGGCGAAGGCGGCUUUUUGGCCUGUAACUGACACUGAGGCGCGAAAGCGUGGGGAGCAAACAGGAUUAGAUACCCGGGUAGUCCCUGUCUCUUAUAC